GAUGAACGCUGGCGGCGUGCCUAAUACAUGCAAGUCGAGCGAACGGACAAGAAGCUUGCUUCUCUGAUGUUAGCGGCGGACGGGUGAGUAACACGUGGAUAACCUACCUAUAAGACUGGGAUAACUUCGGGAAACCGGAGCUAAUACCGGAUAAUAUUUUGAACCGCAUGGUUCAAAAGUGAAAGACGGUCUUGCUGUCACUUAUAGAUGGAUCCGCGCUGCAUUAGCUAGUUGGUAAGGUAACGGCUUACCAAGGCAACGAUGCAUAGCCGACCUGAGAGGGUGAUCGGCCACACUGGAACUGAGACACGGUCCAGACUCCUACGGGAGGCAGCAGUAGGGAAUCUUCCGCAAUGGGCGAAAGCCUGACGGAGCAACGCCGCGUGAGCGAUGAAGGUCUUCGGAUCGUAAAACUCUGUUAUUAGGGAAGAACAUAUGUGUAAGUAACUGUGCACAUCUUGACGGUACCUAAUCAGAAAGCCACGGCUAACUACGUG
rnacentral:rRNA from 1 species